UAUUCCACUCAUAUAGGGAACUCUAGGCUCUAUCCUCUUUCGGAAGAAAUUGAUCUCUUUUAGCAUAUAUACUACGAUGAUUAUGGGCGUGCUCAAAGGCCUUGCUUUAUCCUCAUUAAAGUGCCUUAACACCUUCUGGGUGUAGUUUGAUUGAUGGACUAGAAUACUAUCUGCACGAUUCUAGAGCUUUAGGCCAAUGUAGAAUUUCGUUCUCCCAAUCGUACAUGGGUUUAGAAUAUAAACGUGUUAGAUCAAUCAGCCUCAGCUCUAUUUCAAAAGUGCAAAUUACUUAGCAGCAACAGAGAAGCAAAUAAUCAUUUAUUUGCUGUCUGCCAAAGCUAAGUAAAGCUUAAGAUUAUAUGCAAAAUCAUUUACACAUCGUUCUGCUGCCACUGUUCCUAUGUGUAUUGGUUAACACUAUCUUGAUCUCUUAUUCUUAUUCAGAUUGUUGGAACAGUGUGCAGGUAGAUUGUUCAACUGCUUUGAAUUCAGUUAUGGCUCCAAAGAUGAGGUGGACAAGAAGUAAGAGAUUGUUACAGGAGUAUGAAGAUGAAAAUCAUAAUGCUGAAAGGGAAGUCCAAGAAAUAUCUAAUGACCAGAAUGUAAUUGGUAGUAUAUCUGAAACUGGAACCGCAGUUUCUGGUAGGGACGAAGACCAUCAAAUUCAUCCAAGAUGCAUUUGAGUUGAGGAUGAGAAAAAGGGACCGGCAUUUAGACACUCAGUACAGUGCUGGGAAUGAUGAUGCCAGUCGAUUUCAACAUUGUCGCAAGAGAUUUCAACAUUGUCGCAAGAGAUUUAUAAGAAGUCAACAAAACACUGCUGCAAUUUCAAAUCAAAGUUUUUCUGGGACCUCACAAUGUUUAGACAAAGGCAGUUCUUCUCAACUUCCGAACAGUGAUGAAGUUAAAGGUCUAAUUUUUGCAUUUAAUGAUUAGUUAAGAGCUUGAAAAUGUAAGAAAUUUUUAUUCAUAGGCAAAUAAAUUUUUACAAAAUUCUAUGUUCAGU